AUUGAACGCUGGCGGCAGGCUUAACACAUGCAAGUCGAGCGAGCGGCGGACGGGUGAGUAAUGUCUGGGAAACUGCCUGAUGGAGGGGGAUAACGACCGGAAACGGUCGCUAAUACCGCAUACUAUCAGAUGAGCCCAGAUGGGAUUAGCUAGUGGGUGGGGUAAAGGCUAACCUAGGCGACGAUCCCUAGCUGGUCUGAGAGGAUGACCAGCCACACUGGAACUGAGACACGGUCCAGACUCCUACGGGAGGCAGCAGUGGGGAAUAUUGCACAAUGGGCGCAAGCCUGAUACAGCCAUGCCGCGUGUGUGAAGAAGGCCUUCGGGUUGUAAAGCACUUUCAGCGGGGAGGCGUUACUCGCAGAAGAAGCACCGGCUAACUCCGUGCCAGCAGCCGCGGUAAUAC
rnacentral:rRNA from 1 species